rnacentral:rRNA from 1 species
AUUGAACGCUGGCGGCAGGCCUAACACAUGCAAGUCGAGCGGUAGCACAGAGAGCUUGCUCUCGGGUGACGAGCGGCGGACGGGGGAGUAAUGUCAGGGAAACUGCCGGAUGGCGGGGUAUAACUACUGGAAACGGUAGCUAAUACCGUAUAACGGCGCAAGAGCAAAGGGGGGGACCUUCGGGCCUCUUGCCAUUGGAUGUGCCCGGAUGGGAUUAGCUAGUAGGUGGGGUAACGGCUCACCUAGGCGACGAUCCCUAGCUGGUCUGAGAGGAUGACCAGCCACACUGGAACUGAGACACGGUCCAGACUCCUACGGGAGGCAGCAGUGGGGAAUAUUGCACAAUGGGCGCAAGCCUGAUGCAGCCAUGCCGCGUGUAUGAAGAAAGCCUUCGGGUUGUAAAGUACUUUCAGCGGGGAGGAAGGGAGUAAAGUUAAUACCUUUGCUCAUUGACGUUACCCGCAGAAGAAGCACCGGCUAACUCCGUGCCAGCCGCCGCUGUAA